AGAUCUUGACAUCCCACGUAUGCCUACGAGAGUAGGCAGUGCCUUCGGGAACGUGGAGACAGGUGGUGCAUGGCUGUCGACAGCUCGUGUCGUGAGAUGUUGGGUUAAGUCCCGCAACGAGCGCAACCCCUAUCGCUAGUUGCCAUCAUUAAGUUGGGGACUCUAGCGAGACUGCCUGCGAAGAGCAGGAGGAAGGUGGGGAUGACGUCAAGUCAUCAUGCCCCUUAUGAUCUGGGCUACACACGUGCUACAAUGGCCGGUACAAAGAGCUGCAAAACGGUAACGUUUAGCCAAUCUUUAAAGCCGGUCCAAGUUCGGAUUGAAGUCUGCAACUCGACUUCAUGAAGCCGGAAUCGCUAGUAAUCGCAGGUCAGCAUACUGCGGUGAAUACGUUCCCGGGUC
rnacentral:rRNA from 1 species